GGCCCUUUGAAAGCAGAUAUUCUUCUGUUUAUGUGGAAGAAGCAAUCAUUUUGUGAGAGCCUAUGAUGGGAGUCACAUAGCAUGGACCUGAGGGCAGCCUCAAGAUGCUGAUACUACUUUGGGCCAACAGCCAACUAGGAAAUAACAACCUUUGUCCUACAAUUGCAAGGAACUGAAUUCUGCCAUCAACAUGAAUGAGCUUGGAAGACUACCCUGAGCACCACAGGAGAAUGUGACUUCAGUUCACACUCUGAUAGCGGCCUGAGGAGACCUUGAGCAGAUGGCUAUAUUAUGCAUGCCCAGACUCCUGACCUAGGAAAACUCCUCUGUCGUUAUUGUGACCACGUGUGGUGCCGGUGCCAGAACAUUCCUCCCUUGUGUGUUUCAUGCCCAAUAUGAUCCUCAUAUUCAGGGCUUCCAGAAGAUUCUGUCUGUUUCAUGAAUUCUUGCUAUUGCUAUCCUGAAAAGGUAAUCAGCAGCUGCUUGUGCCAAAGAGGAGGGAGAGAAGAAGCUACAUCAUCGUCCUUUGUUCUCUUACAGGAAGAACUGAACUGUGGCGCACUCUUUACUUUUUAUUGAACUAGCAAGCAAAAAAUAUAUUGUUCAUUGUUUUUAAUCACCAUAUUUUCAGACCUUAGCUGGAGCAGACGUACCUUGUAAAUGGAUACUACGUGAUGGCCCCGGCUAGAGCAAGAAAGGUUUUCUCCCC